AUAGCUUGGGGGAAACACCUGCAGGGCUUGGCUUUGCACUGUGCCAGGAGAGAGCUGCGGGUAGAAGCACAAGAUUGAAAGAGGUGAGCCGGAUGGGGAAUGUUGCAGUGUUCACUCCACUACCUCGGAGGAAGGGGGCCUAAGAGAAAGACAGCGUAGCAUCCCUCCUGCUACCUCUUACUCAGAAGUAUCUGUUUGAAGAAUUGAGUGUGGUCAACCAUUUUCUACUGCUCCUCUGGAGCUCAUUGAAGGAUCUCUACUGGCUUCCAUUGGAAUUGGGUCAGGUCUUCAGUUUGGGGAAGACUUUGAUACCCAGGAAGGAGGAAACUAUAGUGACCUGGGUAGAGGGCCAAGCCACAAAGAGGGAGUAACCUGAGUCCAGAGAGGAAGAGAGAGAGAGACACACACACACACAACAGGUCAAACAACCCAAGGACGGGGUAUCGGACCAGUGAAGAACUAAUCCCCAGCAGUCGCACCAGCAUUGUGUCCAGUUGUGAUGCCCACAAUCCAAGGAAAAUGUUGAGAAAUUGGAGAGGAUUCAGAGAAGAGCCACGAGAAUGAUUCAAGGAUGAGAAAACCUGCCUUAUAGUGACAG